AUUGAACGCUGGCGGUAUGCCUUACACAUGCAAGUCGAACGGUAGAGGGGCAACCCUUGAGAGUGGCGAACGGGUGAGUAAUACAUCGGAACGUGCCCAGUCGUGGGGGAUAGCGUAGCGAAAGCUACGCUAAUACCGCAUACGACCUGAGGGUGAAAGCGGGAGAUCGCAAGACCUCGCGCGAUUGGAGCGGCCGAUGGCAGAUUAGGUAGUGGGUGGGGUAAAGGCCUACCAAGCCUGCGAUCUGUAGCUGGUCUGAGAGGACGACCAGCCACACUGGGAAUGAGAAACGGCCCAGACUCCUACGGGAGGCGGCAGUGGGGAAUUUUGGACAAUGGGCGAAAGCCUGAUCCAGCCAUACCGCGUGCGGGAAGAAGGCCUUCGGGUUGUAAACCGCUUUUGUCAGGGAAGAAAUCUUCUGGGUUAAUACCUCGGGAGGAUGACGGUACCUGAAGAAUAAGCACCGGCUAACUACGUGCCAGCAGCCGCGGUAACAC
rnacentral:rRNA from 1 species